UUCUUUCUAUUGGGAUGUUUUGGGGCCAGUGUCUUGUACGGGCCUCAUAGUAAAGAGAACAGUUUUGAAAGACAUGGUCGGCAUUCUCUGGUGACACUCCACAUGCACAGAUUUCACUGGAAUUUAUUAAUGACGAAAGAAAAAGAAACAGAAAAAGAGGGGAAGGUGUGAUUCAGAAUGUCUAAAAGUGCAAGCAUAUUGUUGGGUGAAGCACCUUUGGAUACUUGAUAGAACCAGCAAAGAAAUAAAAGCAAAGUCUAGUCAACACUAGGUCAUAGACACAACAAAUCUAACUUCAAGACAAAAAACAAAGAACCAAGAGACUUUGCCUAACAAGUUUCUAAAUCCUGACCCACGUAGGUAAAAGUACUCUUCAAAGUGAAUGAGCUUCAAGUGAACUUAUAUAAUUAAAGUGUUUUUUAUUUUAAUAAUUUUGUUAGUGAUUCAUAAGUCAUUCAGUCUUGUGUGAACAUAGAUUUUUUUUUUAAAUUAGCUUUUUUACAUUUAGUCCAAGCAUUGAUAAAGUGUGAUUUCCUUUUUUUUUUAAUUGUUUUUCAUAUAGAAAAUUGGGAUGUGGCUAAAUUUCCCUUUUAAGUUUUCUAAAUGCAAAAGUAAAAUACCUUCUCCUGGUUAUCCAUAAGUAUUUCCAGAUAUUUAAUCACAUUGUCUCUGAAGUCAUUGACUCGAAGUUUUUCAAACCUAGACAUUUCUUUCUUAAUAUUUUUGGAAAUAGUUUCAAAGUCUUCUUGACCCUUCUCAACUUUUUGCUCCCACUGUUAAAACAGACAGAAAUACAUUUAAAGUGUAAUAAAGUGUCAAUAAUUGAAACUCACACCAAUAAAAUCUGAAAUUGUCACAAUGCUUUAAUUGUAUACAAACAGAUCCACUAACAAAAAAAAUAAAAAUAAAUGAACAUUUAUGAAGGAUAUAACUUUUAAUACUUAUUUAAUGUUUUUAAAUGAAGAAGAAAUGUUCAAUGUAUUCAAAUACUGAUACCUCAGUGAUCUCUGCCUGAGCUUGAGUAAUUUUGUCUAAUUUAUUUUGCAUUUCCAGCUUAACUUUAGCGUCUCUCUUCUUGGCCAGUGUGCUUUCAGCAUCUUUCCAGACCUUGUAGGUCUUAAUUCUUUCAUGAAAAACAUCCUGAGGCCAAAGAAAUUUGUUUUAGUUGACUGAAUAUCAGAAUAAAUUUAAGUGUCAUGUAUAAAAGUCAAUUAUUUGGCCACAUCCUGGUUUUCAAAUAGGAAAGGUAUAAAUAAAAAGGACAAAUUUGUUUAGAUGGUCUGUAAAUUUCAAGCUUAAUAUUUAUAUAGCAAAGUAUAUACAUUGCAGCAGGGACUUCAUAGCCAUGUGAAAUACUGCACUGCUCCUCAAUCUUUGGACUCGAAGACAACUCUUAUAUUAAAAAUGGGGAUUUGUUAUAUAUUAUUAAUUUUGUAUUGUGUAUUUUUACUUAGAAUAUUGUGUGUUUAUUCAUUUUAUAAAUUCAAUUUGCAUUAUUGAAAUUUUCCAUUCUUUUCACCAAUUCAAAUAUCUCAAAAUUGGGUCAUCAGAAGUCUGAAGGUAUAGAACUGUACUAAUCACCCAAUACUAUCACCCCAUUAAGAAUCAUCAAAUGACAAUGACAGCAAUUACCUUCACAGCACCCAUGAGGGCUACAUAGUCUUUCAUUAGCUCUGCCAUUAGGAAAAAAUCUGCUUCUGAUUGUUCUUUGUGCAGUAGCUCAAUCUUUUCUUCUGUCUCAGCGAGCUGCGAGAGAGCGCGGGACAAUGCAGUGUGUUCCUCAACAUUGCCCAACAUGGCUGCACUCUUUGCAAAAAUAGCUGUAC